rnacentral:rRNA from 1 species
UAAAACGUAGGAGGCGAGCGUUAUCCGGAUUUACUGGGCGUAAAGCGCGUGCAGGCGGAUUGGAGAGUUGGAUGUAAAAGCUCCCGGCUUAACUGGGAGAGGUCGUUCAAUACUUCCAGUCUUGAGUACAGUAGAGGGAAGUGGAAUUCCGGGUGUAGUGGUGAAAUGCGUAGAUAUCCGGAGGAACACCAGUGGCGAAAGCGGCUUCCUGGACUGAAACUGACGCUCAGACGCGAAAGCUAGGGUAGCAAACGGGAUUAGAGACCCCGGUAGUCCUAGCCGUAAACGAUGUAGACUUGGCGUAGUCGGGUUUAAAUCCGAGUGUGCCGCAGCUAACGCGAUAAGUCUACCGCCUGGGGACUACGGCCGCAAGGUUAAAACUCAAAGGAAUUGACGG